rnacentral:rRNA from 1 species
UACGAAGGGUGCAAGCGUUACUCGGAAUUACUGGGCGUAAAGCGUGCGUAGGUGGUUUUUUAAGUCCGUUGUGAAAGCCCUGGGCUCAACCUGGGAAUGGCAGUGGAUACUGGAAAGCUAGAGUGCGGUAGAGGGUAGUGGAAUUCCCGGUGUAGCAGUGAAAUGCGUAGAGAUCGGGAGGAACACCAGUGGCGAAGGCGGCUACCUGGACCAGCACUGAC